UACGUAGGGUGCGAGCGUUGUCCGGAAUUAUUGGGCGUAAAGAGCUCGUAGGCGGUUUGUCGCGUCUGCUGUGAAAACUGGAGGCUCAACCUCCCAGCUGUCAUUGGAAACCAUCUGGCUAGAGUCCGGAAGAGGAGAGUGGAAUUCCUGGUGUAGCGGUGGAAAUGCGCAGAUAUCAGGAGGAACACCGAUGGCGAAGGCAGGUCUCUGGGCAUUAACUGACGCUGGAGGAGCGAAAGCAUGG
rnacentral:rRNA from 1 species